UCCUUGAUUGGUGGUAGAAGCGCUUCCGCAUUCAACACAUGCAUAUGCCCCUGUCCGUGGAGGUUACUGUGAACAAAACAGCGUGUCCAAAGCAACCACAUGUCUGGCUGAAUGAUCUAGCAUGGAAUAACAAGGCAUCGACCACUGGAGUCAGCCUUUUUGUUGGUUUUACAUGACCCAGUUGGGCAAUGCAGGGCUUGUGCUUCAUUGAGGUUCUUAGUCAGCUCUACCGAACUGUCUUCCCUCAGUUGGACCUUGUUCCCUAUCGGGAUCAAUGGAAGCCAUCGGGGUGGUAUGUAUUCCGACGUGAGCGGUGAAAUGCUUAGACCGUUGGAAGACAAACGACAGCGAAGGCAUUCCGCCAGAAUGUUUUCAUUAAUCAAGAACGAGAGUGUGGGGAUCGAAGAUGAUCAGAUACCAUCGUAGUCCAUUACCGUAAACUAUGCCAACUCGGCAUUGGGAGUCUGUUCACUUUGAAGACUCUCCCAGUAUCAUCCCCCAAUAACGAGAAAUCCAAGUCUAUGGGUUCAGGGGGGAGUACAGUCGCAAGGCUGAAACUUAAAGGAAUUGACGGAAUGACACCACAAGGCGUGGAGUAUGCGGCUUAAUUUGACACAACACGGGGAAGCUUACCAGGUCAGACACAGUAAGGAUGACAGAUUGAGAGCUCUUUCUUGAUCCUAUGGAUGGUGGUGCAUGGCCGUUUCUGGUUCGUGGAGUGAUCUGUCUGCUUAAUUGCGAUAACGAACGAGAUCUCUACCUCUAAAUAGGCGCCGGUCUCGCAUGUAAGUAGGGAUGUGUUGGGGGCCUUCGUGUCCCAUCAUGUCCUGAGAGUGCCGGGAUCGCUUCUUAGACGGACUGUGCAUGUCUUUGAUGCACGGAAGAGGGAGUCAAUAGCAGGUCUGUGAUGCUCCUAGAUGUUCUGGGCUGCACGCGCACUACACUGGCACAGUAAACGAGUUGCACCUGCUUCGGCAGUCCUGCUUAGAAGUGAGCGUGGGAAAUCUUAGAAAACUGUGCCGUGCUGGGGAUAGAUGAUUGCGAUUAUUUGUCUUGAACGAGGAAUGCCUAGUAGAGGUACUUCAUCAGAGUACCUUGAUUGUGUCCCUGCCAUUUGUACACACCGCCCGUCGUUGCUACCGAUUGGCUGUAAAAUAGAGGCCUUAAGAGUCGCUUCCGCAAAGCUUUGCUUUUGAGGUUGUGACAAAUCUGGCCAAUAUUUCAUUGCUAGAGGAAGCAAAAGUCGUAACAAGG
rnacentral:rRNA from 1 species